GGAUUCCAGCGACAGCCAGUUUAGUUCUUUUAGCAUGUCACAAUGGUGGGUCCUGUAAUUACAUUGUAGCACAAAGUGGCAGAACGAGUUAUACAAUGUAUUAAGCUUAUUUAGGUGAGUUUGAGGUGCAGGUGCAUAUACUACAUCAAUGAUUGGCAUCAGCAUUUGCUGUACAAUCUUUUCCUUUACUGUGGGGCUUAGGCAGG